AGGACGAACGCUGGCGGCGUGCCUAACACAUGCAAGUCGAGCGAGAUCCAUCUAGUGGCAACACUGGGGAAGAUCGAGCGGCGAACGGGUGAGUAACACGUGAGAAAUCUGCCCCGAAGACUGGGAUAACCCGAGGAAACUCGGGCUAAUACCGGAUACCCCCAUUGAACCGCAUGGUUCGAUGAGGAAAUGACUCCGACGCUUCGGGAGAUCUCGCGGCCUAGUCAGCUAGUUGGUGAGGUAACGGCUACACCAAGGCUUCGACGGGUAGCUGGUCUGAGAGGACGAUCAGCCACACGUGGACUGAGACACGGCCAGACUCGUACGGAGCAGCAGGUGGGAAUCGUUGCGUCAAGUAGGGACGAA
rnacentral:rRNA from 1 species